rnacentral:SRP_RNA from 1 species
CCGUGCUAGAUGGGGAGCUAGCGGUUCCUUGUACCUGCAAUCCGCUUACGCAGGAUCGAUCGCUUUUUGGAGGUUUUUCAGACUUUUGAUGUUUUUUAUGUAAGUAGUAUUGAAGGCCGGGUCUCAGGAAAUAAGGCUAUGUGAACCUGGUCAGGGGCGGAAGCAAGCAGCCAUAAGCAUUUGUUCUUAUGUGCCGUGAGGUAGCCUGGCCGGAGCUAACUGCAUAGGAAAUUUAAAGGAAAGAGAAUCGAAAAAAAGUGCACGG